UUGAACGCUGGCGGCAGGCCUAACACAUGCAAGUCGAGCGGUAGCACAGAGAGCUUGCUCUCGGGUGACGAGCGGCGGACGGGUGAGUAAUGUCUGGGAAACUGCCUGAUGGAGGGGGAUAACUACUGGAAACGGUGGCUAAUACCGCAUAAUGUCGCAAGACCAAAGUGGGGGACCUUCGGGCCUCAUGCCAUCAGAUGUGCCCAGAUGGGAUUAGCUAGUAGGUGGGGUAACGGCUCACCUAGGCGACGAUCCCUAGCUGGUCUGAGAGGAUGACCAGCCACACUGGAACUGAGACACGGUCCAGACUCCUACGGGAGGCAGCAGUGGGGAAUAUUGCACAAUGGGCGCAAGCCUGAUGCAGCCAUGCCGCGUGUGUGAAGAAGGCCUUCGGGUUGUAAAGCACUUUCAGCGGGGAGGAAGGCGUUAAGGUUAAUAACCUUGGCGAUUGACGUUACCCGCAGAAGAAGCACCGGCUAACUCCGUGCCAGCAGCCGCGGUAAUACGGAGGGUGCAAGCGUUAAUCGGAAUUACUGGGCGUAAAGCGCACGCAGGCGGUCUGUCAAGUCGGAUGUGAAAUCCCCGGGCUCAACCUGGGAACUGCAUUCGAAACUGGCAGGCUAGAGUCUUGUAGAGGGGGGUAGAAUUCCAGGUGUAGCGGUGAAAUGCGUAGAGAUCUGGAGGAAUACCGGUGGCGAAGGCGGCCCCCUGGACAAAGACUGACGCUCAGGUGCGAAAGCGUGGGGAGCAAACAGGAUUAGAUACCCUGGUAGUCCACGCCGUAAACGAUGUCGAUUUGGAGGUUGUGCCCUUGAGGCGUGGCUUCCGGAGCUAACGCGUUAAAUCGACCGCCUGGGGAGUACGGCCGCAAGGUUAAAACUCAAAUGAAUUGACGGGGGCCCGCACAAGCGGUGGAGCAUGUGGUUUAAUUCGACGCAACGCGAAGAACCUUACCUGGUCUUGACAUCCACAGAACUUUCCAGAGAUGGAUUGGUGCCUUCGGGAACUGUGAGACAGGUGCUGCAUGGCUGUCGUCAGCUCGUGUUGUGAAAUGUUGGGUUAAGUCCCGCAACGAGCGCAACCCUUAUCCUUUGUUGCCAGCGGUCCGGCCGGGAACUCAAAGGAGACUGCCAGUGAUAAACUGGAGGAAGGUGGGGAUGACGUCAAGUCAUCAUGGCCCUUACGACCAGGGCUACACACGUGCUACAAUGGCAUAUACAAAGAGAAGCGACCUCGCGAGAGCAAGCGGACCUCAUAAAGUAUGUCGUAGUCCGGAUUGGAGUCUGCAACUCGACUCCAUGAAGUCGGAAUCGCUAGUAAUCGUAGAUCAGAAUGCUACGGUGAAUACGUUCCCGGGCCUUGUACACACCGCCCGUCACACCAUGGGAGUGGGUUGCAAAAGAAGUAGGUAGCUUAACCUUCGGGAGGGCGCUUACCACUUUGUGAUUCAUGACUGGGGUG
rnacentral:rRNA from 1 species